GCUUAGAUACUUUUGGCCAUCCAUGAACCAAUUCUCUUGGCUUCUACCUUCUAACCCAAAUAUAUCUGGGAAGCCCAACUGAAACCCCAGAAGUAGUCAUGACAUCAGGUAUGAGUGAGCCCUGUGAGUGCUGAAGGCAUUUUUCUACCUAAUGAUGACUCUAGUACUGGAGGAAGCAAAAUUGGAAAAAUCUUAGAAAAACGGACAUCUAACCUUGACCAAACAUGCCUGAAGGCUUUCUUCCCUACCUGAAUUAUGAUAUAUUUUUCUAUACACAAAAAUAAUGUAAUUUUUAAAGUUAAUCCUUUGAAAGCUCAGAUUUUUUUUACAACAGCUUUAACAAGGCAAUAGCUUUACUGUGUGCUGUGAGCUGAUAGAUUGGGAACUUUCAACCACUUACACUAUGCCUAAAGAAUUCAAAUCUCUGGAGAAAGAUUAGGAAUAUGCAUUUACACAAGCGUUGUUAUCUCAUUCUGACAUAGAUGGUCAUCUACCAGACAAUUUGAGUUUAAGUUCAGUUAAUCAGGCCAGGCAUUGACAGGCACAUUACAAGUGAAGUAGAUAAGGAAAGGUUGGUACUAGAAAUUAUCCACUGUACUGGGGCAAGUGUAAAGAGCACAGAUCUAGUUAGAAGUUAAUAGCUUUUUUUGCAUCACUAAUUUUUUAGAGGCUAGGAAAGUCCAUUUUAAUAUUACGCAUUUAAGAGAGAAACUAGGUAUUAAAGAAAUUAACAUUUAGCAGUUGGAAAAUAUUGACUUGGUAGCAGGGAGUCUGUUAUCCUUGCUGUUACCCUGAACAUUUCAAUUUCAGAAAGUUGCAUGACUUUUGAAUCUCCUCCAUGUAAGACAUCCUGCUUGACAUAAGGAUUUAUUUCUGACUUUCCAUCAGUUUCUAAUUAAUAGCACCACUGUGUGCUACAUGAUGUGAGAAUUGAAAAUCUCUAAACAGUACCACAGGAGCAUCACAUUGCACUUCUACUUGGAAAAACACCUGAUCAGUUAUCCAGCUGUUUCCUCCAGAUGUUUUCUGUAAACUCAAAGGUCAUUGUUUCACUAAAAUUGAGAUUAAUUUGGCUUAAACGUAUCUUGCUCACUAUAAUAAAGUAGAGCUAUUAAAAUCAAGUUUUUAAAUAGCCACAGGUAUAUACAAUCAAAUGUUGUAGAACUUACCAAAUAUAUGUUUCUAAAAGUACUUUCUCUCCACCUUUAUAAAUCUAAAUGCAAAAUCAUAUAGUUUGUAUGUUUUGUAAUAAAAUGUGUAGUGACACAUUCUUUCCUCUGAGUAAAUAUCUCAUGACGAAAAGGAACAUAUCAUUAUUAGUACAGAGUAAUAACAGAAUUCACUAUAAGAUGAAAAGCUCAGCAAGUGGUGACUGCUCUUGAAAUGCCAAAUAAAAUAUAAUAUCUUCCCCUAAGCUAAUGUGGAAGCAAAAUAAUAAGACAUGACCUAAAGUAUACAGUGUAUGUGUCUGUAUGCUUUACUUUAUAUCAUCUUUGUAAAAUAAUGUGAUAUUACCAGAUUGCGUGAGAUUGUGUUAUAACCAGAUACUAUUAGAGUCAUAGGCAUUAAAAGUUGUCCUUCAUAAGGGGUAUUAUGGCAUUUAAUUACAAGUAUUUUUUUCCAUAAUGAAAUCAGAAUGCAAACACCAGCCCUACAAUAACUCUGCACUUGAAUAGCAAACCAAAUAUUCCUCAGAGGUCAUAAUUUUAUAAGUUUGAGAUUAAAAAUAACAUCUAAUCUUUACUACUGCUGUCUUUCCAUCCCUAGGAAUAUUACUUAUUUUCAUUAAUUACUUAUUUAGUCUAUUUGAUCACAAAGUUAAAUCAAAAUCUCAGAGAAGACUACGGCAAUAACAUUUAUCAAGCUCCAUUGUGUAUCUGUCAUUGGGUGUAUACUAUUCUGUGAACUAUGGCCUUCCACGGACUAUUAAUAAUGAGACAUAUUUACAUAUCAAUAUUUAUUUCUAUGAUGUAUGUCCCCUAUGAAAAAAAUAUACCUUGGUCUAUGAUUAAAUGUCCUUUGUUUACAAAAACCAUUAUUGUGUACUAAAUUAUUCGUCCUUUUUCAUUUCAAAUAAAAAAGCUGUUGAAAUAUG
rnacentral:lncRNA from 1 species